CCCGGGCGCGCGCGCACCAUUGUGUGGCUGGACUCGGCCGCCGUUGCGGUGUGAGGCGCGUGUUCGGGCUCUCGCCGUCCCCGCACCCGCACCGCGGCUUUUGCCUUGCGGUCCGCCGUUCGAUAGCCAGCCUUCGGGGCCCCUGCCCGCCACGGACAUGCCACGCGUCUACAUAGGACGCCUUAGUUACAACGUCCGGGAGAAGGACAUCCAGCGCUUUUUCAGUGGCUAUGGCCGCCUCCUCGAAAUAGACCUCAAAAAUGGGUACGGCUUCGUGGAGUUCGAGGACUCCCGCGACGCCGACGACGCCGUUUACGAGCUGAACGGCAAAGAGCUCUGCGGCGAGCGCGUGAUCGUGGAGCACGCACGGGGCCCGCGCCGCGAUCGCGACGGCUACAGCUACGGAAGCCGCAUGACCAAUGGGGCUGAGGCUGUGUCCACUGAGGCUAAGAUGACUGCCUUUCCUGAUUGGCCUUGGCUUUUCCAUACAUUCUGUGACCCUUGCCCUAUGACCCUUUGGCUGACCUUACCGGAAGCCAUGACGACAGCAGCCUUUUGCCAUUAGACGCAGGGUGAUGGUGAGGAUUCCAAGGGUUAGACAAAACUGGUUAAUCUGAACUAGGUGACUGUUACCUUGCGUGUUUUGUGGCCAAACCACCACCAAAAACCUCACACUGUGAUGUAAGUACUUAGUGUAACUAGUAAACAUUUUUGUAAAAUGUAGAAAUGCAUGUAAUCAGUUAAGUUUUAUAUUUUACAAUGUUCUGUAAAAUAAAACUUAGCGAGGUAAAUUGAAUAAAGGAGCAGUCACUCUCUAACAGAUUGUAGGAGGAGUUUAGUUGGAUUUAGUCUAUUUGACUUGCCCUUAAUUUAAUUUAUGGCAAAUCACAACUGUAUCGAAGGUUUAGCAAUAUAAUAGCAAAGUCCUACUCCAGUAAAUAAAAGUUGAUAUGUUUGUACUAACUUUCAAAAAAACAUGCACCCCUAUCAUUACAAAGCACCUAAUUAUGCUCUUCGUGUGAUAAAGGUGGUGGAGGUGGAUACAGCAGUCGGAGAACCUCUGGCAGAGACAAAUAUGGACCACCUGUUCGUACAGAAUUCAGGCUUAUUGUAGAAAACCUUUCUAGUCGUUGCAGUUGGCAAGAUUUAAAGGAUUUCAUGAGACAAGCAGGUGAAGUAACCUAUGCGGAUGCUCACAAAGAACGCACAAAUGAAGGCGUGAUUGAGUUCCGUUCCUAUUCUGACAUGAAGCGUGCUUUGGAUAAACUGGAUGGUACAGAAAUAAAUGGCAGAAAUAUUAGGCUCAUUGAGGAUAAACCACGAACGAGCCAUAGGCGAUCUUAUUCUGGAAGCAGAUCAAGGUCACGGUCUAGAAGAAGGUCACGAAGUAGGAGUCGCAGGAGCAGCCGCAGUAGAUCUCGAAGCAUCUCAAAAAGUCGCUCCCGAUCCAGGUCUCGGAGCAAAGGUCGAUCACGUUCUCGAUCAAAAGGCAGGAAAUCUAGAUCAAAAAGCAAAUCUAAGCCAAAGUCUGAUCGGGGCUCCCGUUCGCGCUCUCGAAGCAGAUCUAAGGAGUAUGAGAAAUCUCGAAGCAGGUCUCGUUCUCGAUCUCGUUCCCCCAAAGAAAAUGGGAAAGGUGAUAUAAAGUCAAAAUCUAGAUCAAGAAGCCAGUCUCGUUCAAAUUCACCCCUACCUGCUCCACCCUCAAAGGCACGUUCUGUGUCCCCUCCACCAAAAAGAGCUUCAAGAUCCCGCUCUAGAUCUCGUUCAAAGUCCAGAUCACGGUCCAGAUCGAGUUCCAGAGAUUAACCUAGAACUCUAUAUUCUUUGCACACUAUUAUGGAACACUUUCCUACUUGCUUAGGCAGUUACUCUUCCAUGUUUGUACUUGGCCUCUUCUGCAAGAGGAAUCUCCUGAAAAUGGGGGCACACAGAAAUUUGAUUUGUGGCCAAAUUUGAUGAAAAAAUGAGGUUCUAAAGAAUGGCAUGAAGUUGAAGACCCUCUCCCUUCUUUGUAGAAUUAAGAUAACUUUGAUUUUAUAGCUUUUGAGCUAAAAUAACUUUUGUAAAGAUUAAGCUCAUUUAGAUUUUUUUUAAGUAUUUCAGCAGGAUCUGCUGCAGGGAUUUUUGUUGUUUUGUUUGCUUUUAAAUUAACCGUUUCAAGCUUUGAAUACCUAAGGCUUUAGAGGGAGAUCCCAAUUUUCAAUUAUGUUGGCUUUUUAUAAAGCUUGAGUUAUGUAAGAUUUCAAUAAAAAUUUGCUACCAAGAUGAUUGCCUUACUGAAUAGGUCACUAUUAAAUUCCUUUAAAUAUUGAUAAUUUGCUUUUUGUGGAAACAAUGUAAAUUCUACAUGUGUAAAAGAAGGCAAGCCUCAGACCAGCAAUAAAUUAUUCCAUUUGGAUAACAUUUUGUUCUGUUAAUCAAAUUUGCCAAAGUCUAUCUGCCCCUUUGAGUUAAGUUAAAAAUAAAAGGUGUUUUGUAGUCAAUUA